rnacentral:rRNA from 1 species
GGUAUUUUGACUAUACGAAGGUAUUGAAAUAAGAUUUUAAAUGAGUGCUAAGAGAAUGAUUAAACAAUUAAAAGCUUUCUUUAAUUGAAUAAUUGAAUUUAAUUUUUUAGUGCAAAAGCAAAAAUAAAAAUUAGGGACAAGAAGACCCUAUGAAUUUUUAUUAAAUUUUAUAAAACUUUAUAUAAAAUUUAAUUUAAUUGGGGUGAUGGAAAAAGAAUAAAUAUCUUUUUUUUUAAAAAAAAAUUGGUUCCGUUUUUAGCGAUUAAAUGAAAAAAAUACUCUAGGGAUAACAGCGUAAUAAUUUUGGAUAGUUCAUAUAGAUAAAAUAGUUUGCGACCUCGAUGUUGGAUUAGGAUUCUUUUUUGGUGAAGAAGUUAAAAAAAGAAG